CGCCGACCAGAGGGGAUGCUCAAGACACGGAGAGGCUGCCUCUGCGAAUCAUUAUCGCGGAGAUCUUAUAGGCGCUGGAUACAUGCCGGGGUCCACUAAAUGGACGGCAGAGAUUUUCCAUCGCAGGUAGGCGAUCGAGGAUCACCGUCCAGCACCCACGAGGGAUCGCACCUAUUUAGAUCAACAAACAAACGGCCAAUUGGAACCAACAAAAGGGAAAUAAAAAACAGACCCCGGGAUCAAAACGGGAGCAAAUGGAGGAAACCCUCUCUUCCUCUCUCUCUCUCUCUCUCCAUCGGUGAAACGUCUCCGAUCGAUCGCGUGGGAGAGGACCGAACCCUAACUUUAGGUCGGGUCCACGCGAAUGGACGUGGACUGCCGAGAUCUGCGCUGUGCCAAUCAAGAUGCCAGGGGACCAUUUCAAAGAAUACAGUCGAUAUUGUUCCAUGCUAGCUGGCACAUGCUGCUACCAAACUACAUGCAUGAUACAAGAUGCUGAGCAUUGUACCAUAUGUGCAUCUUGCUGGUGCAGACCCGUGUAUUGUAUUAUGCUAGUUUGACCUUAUGCUACAGAGGGAAUAAACUCACUGCCUUUUCAAUUCACACUUCUGUGUGUCUCUUUGCUGCAAUAGUGCUUUUACAUAUAUACUGAUCCUUACAUCUAGAAUGCUUUAGAAUAACUUUUCUCUAAACCUGUUGGUGACCCACGUAACAUUUCAAGGAAGGGGGAACUACCAUUUUCUGCUUGACCACCCACCUCUUGGCCAUUUCCUCUUUUCAGACUUCCACUUUGCAACCACUAGCACUAUCCUUUCCUUUGUCAAGAUUAAUGAACUCUAGCUUCUCCAAUGUCCUCUCCUCCUUUGAUUGUGAACUCUCUACCUCUAGCAAAACUUCUAGCAAGGAUGGUAGCGACAAAGAGUGGGACCUUGAAGGUUCACUUGCUGUCCUGCUCGAUAUGAUAUUCCGCUUUGCUUCUUCUUGGAGCAUAGGAGUUUACGUGAAUGCUUGUUUUCUAAAGAUGCCAUUUUGUCUUAACAAUGGCAAUUAUGAGCUUCACUUCAUCUUUUGUUAACCUCCAUGUCCCUCAAAUUUUCACUUUGUUGCCACCUAUCUGAUCACCAUUAUUUCGUUGACUUAUCUAUCCCCUCCAGUAUCUUACUCUCCUCAAAGCUAAUUGUUUGAGUGCUUUGUAUUUGCUAUUUCAUUUGAAAUGAUGUGUCAUUUCUUGGUAUUUAGUUUGCCUUAGAUGAUGGAGAACCCAAUUUAAGGUUGGUUGGUCAUGCUUCAACCGUGCUUAAGAAGCUGAUAUAGGCACCAUGCAUGAAGUUCAACAAUACAAUCUAUCACUAGAGCUUGAACCAUGUAUUAGCUGUGAGUGAUUUUCAUGAUUGAACAAACUAUAGAGAUACAUAAAUCUAUUUGCCUGCAUUCCAUAGGGGACAUGUGCACUAAGUCUAUCCGGCCACCUGUAUUUCCUUAGCCGUGCUUGUGCACUCUUCAAUUUUUUUCCUUUUGCAUAUAAUAACAUUGUUGAAACCAUUGCAGAACCUAUUUUAUACCAUUAUGCCCUAGGGGUGCAAAUGGGUCGAGUCAGACCGGGUCAUGAGUGACCCCGGCCCAAUCCGGUUCUUUGUUCGGGUUCUAAUUUUGGACCCAUACCCAAUCCAAUAAAAGAUCAGGUCGGAUUGGGUCCACGACUACAAGUUUUGACCUAACGGGUCAUUCGGAUCCGGUCGGGUCCAUGUAUAAACCCGGAUCCAACCCAAAAAAUUCGAGUUCGAUUCGGGUUCAGGACGGGUCGAGUCUAUUUGUUCGGGUCCGGUUCAUCAAAGGUGAGAACAAUUCACACGGUUACGAUCAACUGGAUAACCAAAUGGAGCAGUUUUAAAAAUUCUAAUAUUGAUAAAAUCCACAUAAAAAUAUAAACUCAAAGAGAAGAUAAUUGUCUAAGUACGCCACCACAAUGUCUCAAGAUAAAUACAAUCUGUUGUCAGUCACACUAUCAUAUAAAGAUAACAUCAUAUUAGGGUACUCAAAAUUUCAAUACAAAACAAAAAUUCAAUAGCCUACAUUCAGUAGCUUGAAGCAGGAGCUUCACAAGUUCAAAAAUUGCCUCUCUUGAAAUAAAGGUAUAGAUAUAAGAAUUUAGUACAAUAUGAAUAUAUGAUCUACAUAAACAACACGUGCUUUUCCUUCUUUUUUUCCUUGCUCGUCACUGUUUGAUUCUGCUAAACAAUCUGUAACUAUUCUCGAUAUGAAUUCAAGAACUGUUCAGUCCCUUGAGCAAUAUAAUACAAACAUGGAGGAUUGGAGAGCCUCUUUGACAUUCGGAUUCGCUUUACACAUUGAGAUAUAUUAGCACCAAAACUUCAAUUCUCUCAUCAGGCAAGAUUCCAAUCACACAAGGAUCAAAAUCAAGUAAUUGAUUAGAAUUUUAUUAGACAGAAAAAAACUUCAUAAAAGAUCAUUCAGCAGUGAGUACAUUCAUGUAGUGAUGCCAUAGAACUUUUGAACUUGUUUGGUUUGCAUGGUUGCACCCCUGCAGGCUGCGGCCCGCGAGCCCAAUAAUUUUACAAGUUCGAGUCGGGUCGGUCGGGUCAGGGCGGGGCGGGUUGUAGGAUUGAAAACCUAAAAUUACCCAAAUUUCAAAUGGAUCGGGUCGGGUCUGAAUUUAGUAAACCCAGAUCCGAUCCAAAAAAUGGAACUAGUCCAAUUUUAGAACCCGACCCGGCCCCACGGGUCCUCCAAAAUGGGUUGGUUCAGGUCUAAAUGGGUUAGGUUGGGUUACGGGUCAACCCCGACCCAUUUGCAGCCUUAUUAUGCCCAAAUCUGAUCAUACUUCUUCUAGCCCUUCAGUUCAAAAAAAUUGUUUACGUAACGUGUCAUUUAAUUGAAUACCAUAUAUGUGGAAUAUUCAUGAUAAUAAAUUAUCUUUUCCCUCAAGGAAAUGAACCUCUUGCAGUUGAGGCUGUUUUUCUUAUAAAGGGUACUCAAUUAAGAUAAGGUUCAACAGUUUGGAAGAUGAUUUGUUUUAUGAUGUAUUCUUUUUGAUUGAUUACCAUAACUAAAUCCCAAUAACACCUUUUAACCUUAUUAUUAAUAUUGGCACCUGAAGGUCAGACAUUACUAGAUGAUGAUUUCAAGUAGAUGUACAUACUCUCCUUUAAGAUCAUGUUGGACCAACUUGCAAGGCUUCAUCGAUUUCCCUAUGCUUUUUUUAUCUGAGAUCUGCAUUUUGAAAUAGGAAAUGUUGGAGACACAUAUAGGAAGUUUAUUACUCUUUACCAAGUUGAUAACAUGCACAAACUUACCAACACUUUUACAAAACCUAUAUAUGUCAAUAAGGAAACCAAGCAUACACCAUUUAGUUCUAUUCUCGUCAAAUAAAAAUUAAAAUCUCUAAUUUUCUAAGAGACAUUAUUCAAAUAUGAUAACCAAUAAAUGGGAAAUUUUGUACCAUCUGUAGAGCCUCUUGAUUUAGUCCAUAAUCUUGCCAUCAAUUUUGUGCUCGCAGGCAAUUCCUUUUUACCAUAUUACAACCUCAUCGGCAAUUAAGUAGUACGACCAAUUUAAACCUCUCUUAAGAGAAAUCUUGAGUGCCCAUAUCUAGCAUUAAAUUCUUAACAUUUUAUAGAAAUUUAUAUGCAAAUGUCAUCCUGAUAAAUAUUUUACUGAUUGAGGUAUUGUAAAUGUGGUUUGAGUUUGUUGAUUAGGCUUGUGAGAGUUCAUCAUUGAUCUCAACGAAGUGGUGUCUCUCAAUCUUAAUCAGAAGCACCACUACUCAAUUAAAGUAAUAGGAUUAGCUCAAACACAUUUAAUCCUAAUGGUUUAAUGGACUUUAUACUGGUUUAUUAUGUAAUCUUAGAACCUUGUUGGAAUCUACAAUGACCAUUGACUCCGAAUUACGUGGCAAAUGCCCUUCCCUAACUUAUUUUCCUCUUCAUAAGAGAUAGUAAGCAAAAAAAUAAAAGAGAUUUGUCACUUGCAAUGAAUGUGCAUGGCCUAUUAUUACUCUUCUGGCAUAGAUUCAACUUACUUCCCCUGUCAUGCUAAUUUGAGAUCUUGUGCAUUUGCUCAUUGAUGUGGUUCUGUUAGCAUUUUAACUUACUUGUUAUCAUACAUACCUCACUAGAAAUAGUUCAAUAUUGUGUACUGGAAUAGUUUGACUAAUGAAAUAUUCUGUGGCUUGUCUUGCACUGUUUGUUGCUUAAAUUGGUGCCAUUUUCUUUAGGAUUAAAAUGUCAACUUCAUUGUUUUCAGUUGAUAAUUAAAUUAUAUUUAUGUGAAAAAUGUUUGUGCUCUUCUGUGUUCAUAUUUUAUAUAUCCUGUGCAUGGCAUGCUCAGUUUUAGAAGCUAUGUAAUUACCAAUUUACUAUGUUUGUGUUGUGAUCUUCGUAACUGUUUCAACGUAU